rnacentral:lncRNA from 1 species
GAGGAGCCAUGUCUCGACCGCCCUCCACCCACACCACCCCCCAGUCUUACCGCAUCAGUGACAGAGACCUGACGGAGAUCCAGCUCCACUCUGUGGACUCCAUCAAUGACCUGCACCGCAUGCACCCUGAGCACGGCCACAGAGGCAUACGACCGCCUCUCUCGCCCGCCCACAGCCCGACGUCCAAUGGAAACCCCUGUUUCCCCGGCAGGACGGACGUCAAUCAACCAGGCCAGCCAAUCAGCGCUAAACUGCAGAAACACUUGGGGGAGACGUGGGGCUCCGGUUCGUCGAGGGUCUACAUCGCGGCCUGUGGACUCAUCGCGUUCCUACUGCUGUUCGUCACCGUCUACUUCCUGGUCCAACAGGGCGGCGCUAUGCGGACGCUCACAGAGGCCGUGAGGGAGAAACAGGACGUUUCCAUGGAGAUAUCCAAGCUGAUUCAGGAGCUACAGGCCCUGAGACACAACCUGACAGCUCUGAGGGACAGGCCUUGA